rnacentral:sRNA from 1 species
UGGAAAGCCCUGGAGGCUGAAGUGGUUUAUUCACCAAUUAGGUAUAACACACAGGUACAUGGCAGAUUUCCCCACGCUGUCCCAAAAAUGUGUCUCAACUCUGCCUGAAGGGACCAACUCUAAGAAAGGAUAGUUUAAUCUCCAUGGCCUCUUCACUGUGCCUGCC